rnacentral:sRNA from 1 species
GCGGCGCGCCGGUUCCUUGGUUCCUGAGGGCGAUGGCGCGGGGUGGCUGGCGCCGGCUACGCCGCCUGUUAUCCGCGGGGCAGCUUCUAUUCCAGGGCCGCGCGCUGCUCGUCACUAACACGCUGGGCUGCGGCGCGCUCAUGGCGGCCGGUGAUGGCGUGCGCCAGUCCUGGGAGAUCCGCGCCCGGCCCGGCCAGGUUUUCGACCCACGGCGCUCCGGUGAGGACGCCAUGCUGCUUAGCCCUUCACCCCGGGCGACCUUUGAUCCCGACACCCGACUGCGGGCCGUGACCCCUGACCCGUGGCCUCAGUCCCCCGCAGGACCCUUGCCCUGACCGCGCCUCUCCCCGGGUGUCUGUCUCCCCGCAGCUCUGGGUCUCCAUCACCUCACAACCCCUGGAGGUCUCUGCCCACUACCCAGGAGCCUCUGGAGCCGCGCCUCCUGGUGGGGCUUGUAGUGGAAGAAUGCACGGGUGGGCUCUUCCGGUUUUCCCGGUGAGGCUGAGGCUCCGGGAUGGCAUUGGGCUUACCCAGGCCUUAGCCAGGGAGGGAGAGAGGGAAUGGACUGAGGAAUUUGCCGGCCCGACCCAGCCCCCUGACUUACACUCUUAUAGCGAGCAUGUUUGCGGUGGGCUGCAGCAUGGGUCCCUUCCUGCACUACUGGUACUUGUCGCUGGACCGCCUAUUCCCUGCGUCUGGCCUCCGAGGCUUCCCAAAUGUCCUCAAGAAGGUCCUCGUGGAUCAGCUGGUAGCCUCUCCAUUGCUGGGCGUCUGGUACUUCUUGGGCCUUGGCUGCCUGGAGGGUCAGACAGUGGGUGAGAGCUGCCAGGAGCUGCGGGAGAAGUUCUGGGAAUUCUACAAGGCUGACUGGUGCGUGUGGCCUGCUGCGCAGUUCGUGAACUUCCUCUUCGUGCCCCCCCAAUUUCGAGUCACCUACAUCAACGGCCUGACGCUGGGCUGGGACACGUACCUGUCCUACUUGAAGUACCGGAGCCCAGUUCCUCUGACACCCCCAGGCUGUGUGGCCCUGGACACCCGAGCAGACUGAACUGUCUGCUUCCUGGACCGGAUGCAAGACUGUCUCCUGGCGGACCACCCCCUCUGACAGAAGGGGAAUGGGCUCCUGCAGCAAGCUCGGGUCUUGGGCCACGUCCCAGCACCACUUCAGCUCCCGAGCAUUGGGCUGAGCCGCCCUUUCCAAGCUCACUUCUGGGACUCAGUUUCCCCAACCGGAACACACCCAUGAAGAUGGAUGAUCAUCCCCUAGCCCUUCUCAGCAGGAACCUCAUGCGACCUGUGACCAAGAUGUCCCAUCCUCAGCACAGGGCCCACUCUGCCAACCAGUCUCAAGCACCAGCCCCUCAACACUGCCAUCCACCUGGCUCUGGGCCAAGCCACCAAUCCAGAGCUCCCUCAGGUCCUGGGACUAAGGAGGGGACAUGACUGAUCCCCUCAGAGCAGGCUCAGGCCUGGAGUCGGCCCCCAAAAGUUUCACAUAGGGCCAGGCAGCCUCUGUGUUUCUUUCCCUGGUCGUGAACUGUGGAAAUGCCAUUAAACUCUCUCUAUAAUGUAACUGAAACUGCUGGCUGGGUGCAGUGGCUCCCACCUGUAAUCUCAGCCCUUCACGAGGCUGAGGUGGAAGGAUUGCUUGAGGCCAGGUGUUCGACACCAGCCUGGGCAACAUAGCAAGACCCUGUCUCUAUUUAUAUUGAAAAAUAAAAAUAACAAAAGAAAAUGCUGUGGAUGAUCAAAACCAGGGUGGGCAGGGCCCGGUGCUCACAGGGACACACAUGGAUGGUCCAUUCGCUUUAUUGGGUGUGUGUAGUGUUGUCAUGACAUCUCCUAAGGAACUGGGGGGCACGUUUGACACUCAUGAGGUCAGAACAGGUCCGGUGGGCGGGGGGGGGGGGUCCCAGGGUGGUGAAUACCCACAGCACAC